UGCUGGACUCUGGCCUCCAGAACUGUGCGAGGACAAACAUCGGCAGUUUCUAGCCCCCGCCUGUGGUCCUCUGUUGCAGCAGCCUGGACAGUCUGGACUGCCUGGACAGCAUGCAGAUGGGCUCUGCCUGCGGCUGCCCACGAGUUCCCACCACCCGCCCAUCGGUGGGAGAGCCAGUCCUCGUGUGUGAAGGGUCCCUGCAUCCCUUUACUCCAUGUACACAGGUGCCUCUGUCACUUCUCCUUUGACCUGGCUGGUGCAUCUUACCGGUUUCUGCACCAACAAUGAGUUGAAGGAAAUCUUGAACGUACGUUCAUUUUAUAUCUGUAUCAGAGUCUAUUUAUUUCUUGUUGACACUAAUCUUUGAGCAUGAGUAGCUUAGCGAUUGUGAAACAGAAACUUCUGGAUACAAAAUCAGUCUCCUGGCUGUGACCCAAUCAUCUGCUCAGUUCUGAUUACCUGUGAUUAAGAAAACAAAUAAGAACGCCCGUUGGGGGAAGGCUUCCCUCCCCCGGGCACAGCAGCUUUAAAACCGAAAGGGAAGUGGGUGCUGUGAGCAGCUCUGUUCAGGCCUGAGUUCACGCACGUGUGCCCCGUGGGGGAGACGUGCACCAGCGAAUCAGGAAACAGUGGUGAUGGCCGUUCCGGGAGGCUGACUAGGGGUGCAGGGGUCACUUUUCUAAUGUGGGUGGGUCUGUGUCCCCUGCAGGAACGUGGCUGCAGCGAAGCUGGUCAGUCAGCGGUCAGCUCCAGCCCCUGUCCAGGCCCUGUGGGUCCUCCUGACCAGGCUGCGGUUGUUCCCAAACCAGUUCCCAGCCCCCGCUUGCCCUACUUCCUCUCACACCAGCUCCUUCCACCCCGCCACACCCACCUGCCGGCUCCCAGCCCGGGCUACUGACAUCGAUCAUGGCAAUCGCUAUUCCAGAGGUGUACGCGGCGGGUGGGGUGCAGUAUCGCCUGCCAUGCCUCACUCACCGGGCACCUAGGUCACCUGAGGCCAGGGAACAGCCACUUGCCCUGACCCAUGCUCCCGGGCCCCUGAGGCACCCAGGAGGACCACCCGGCCGCUUCUGCUCAAAGCCCAGCACCCCCGAGUCUGUGGAGAGGUCACAUCUGACCGCGUUUCCAGGUGGCUGCCCAGGCAUGGGUACAUGGUCGCUUCCGGUUUCCUCCUCGAGCCGAACCACACACCUGCUCUGUCCCGGGCUUUCUGGAGGGGUUUUCCGAAGUGAGACCGUGGGCUUCCUCCAGGGCUGGGGGCAGGAGGACACACAGGGAAGGUGGGCAAGCAGCCCCAGGCUGAGGGAGGCCUCCCCUCUGCAGUGUUUGUUCAUUCAUUUGUUCAUCCCCAACACUGUCGGGCAUCAGGGAAAACAGGUGUCUCUGGUCCACAUGCAGAAGAGCCACCACUGUGGUACGACUGGAUGACUCAGACCCUGGGCAGGGGGUACGAUUUGGACACAGUCAUUGUCCAGGGACACAACUUUGCCUGGACCAGAGCUUCUCACCCCAGGCCAUUUUAAACCCCAGGAGACACUUGACAAAGUCCAGAGACAUUUUGGGUUGUUCCUUUCCAGCCCCGGCCAUGGUGGGGACGUGUCUAUGUCUGUGAACCUCUGGUCACUCUCUCUGGCCCUCUCCCUCCCAGGGGGCAGCUGCUCUCAGCCCUUCCUGCCCCCACAUCAUCAUCCUGCCUGUCCUUCUGGCCUGCACAUUUGUUGUGCUUGGAAGAGCCACGAAGGAGGAGGAUGUGAAUAUUCAUAUUCACAGGGAAGUGGGCCCCGUGGCCUCCGUCAGUGUCUUCCGUCCCCAGGAAGAACCCAGGCCUGGGUGAUUCAUCAGGGCCUCAGGGCCGGGAGACACUGAAUCUUCUGCAGAUGUGAUGACUACCUGCAUGAAUAACCACUUGCCUGAAAGCCCACCUGCACCCAUGUCCACUGGCACAAGUGCCUACCUUCACAGAUGCCCACCUGCAAAAAUGUCCACCUGCACAGAUGUCCACUGCACAGAUGUCCACCUGCAUGAAUGCCCACCUGUGUCCACAUGCACGAAUACCCACCUGCACAGAUGCCCACCUGCACGGAUGCCCACCUGCAUGAAUGCCCACCUGCACGGAUGCCCACCUGUACAAAGGCCCACCUGCAUGAAUGUCCAUCUGCAUGGAUGCCCACCUGUACAAAGGCCCACCUGCGUGAAUGUCCACCUGCAUGGAUGCCCACCUGCACGAAUGCCCACCUGCACAGUUAUCCAUCUGAACAGCCCUCUGGUGCCUCCUUUUGCUUGCACAUGUUCAAAUCCUCCCAGUCCUACAAUCGAUUGUUCCUAGUGGGGUCAUUCUGGGCAUGUUAUUCUAAAACUUGUUUUUUCCCGUCUCCACAUCAGAGGAGAAAGGUCUAGCUUGUUUCUUCGCUAUAGAGCAGGGCCUGAGUGAGGUCAGGACCACAGAACAGACCCUAUGAGUGCUGGUCAGGACCACAGAACAGACCCUAUGAGUGCUGGUCGGGACGCACAGCAGGACCCCUUCAGGGUCUGGAAGAGGGUUCCCCAAGCUCCUGUUCAACCUGAGUAAGAGGCUCAGGCUGCCCCCCACGCACUGCACAGAAAAAUGGGCCAUUAACUCAGAGCCACCCACGCUAACAGCAGUUGAGCUGCAGCCCUCUGGCAGGCAGGUUCUGGGAACACUAGGAACCUGAGACCCUGUGCCUUCCUGACAGCGGGGUGUGGUGACAUGAGGAGAGACUGGAUACCUCCAUUCUGCUCAUGAAAGUCACAGAGGAGACCGGGGACCCCAGGCCCCUGGCGAUACCAGCACCCCACACAAUGCCUUUCUGGGAUACACCCCACCAACACGGCCUGCCCAAGGAAUCAGGAGCCUGUGUAGAGGAGUCAGCUGGGGGUGGCAGAGCCCCAGGGAACAAUCGUGGGUUGCUGGCAGAUGAGCCACACGCCCACACAGCACAGGCCCUCACCCCUGCAGCUGGGGGAGCCCUCCUUGGGAGUGGGCCCAGGAUCUGGGCAAAAUGACACAGAUCGGAUCCAGGAGCAGACAGAGCAAAAGUGGCAAAAACAUUCUCCUGGUAAAGGGAACAUUUUCACCUAUUGAGAGAUCAGCUGUCCCUCCAGACCCGAGGGUUCCACAUCCCUGGACGCAACCAACCCAUAUGCAAACUAUUUGAAAAAGAAAAACAAAACAAAACAAAAGAACAAUACAGCAAGAAAAAAGAACACAAAUAAAAAAUACAGUAUAGCUAUUGACAGAG